UGGGGAAUAUUGCACAAUGGAGGGAACUCUGAUGCAGCGACGCCGCGUGAACGAAGAAGGCUUUCGAGUCGUAAAGUUCUUUUAUAUGGGAAGAUAAUGACGGUACCAUCAGAAAAAGCCCCGGCUAACUACGUGCCAGCAGCCGCGGUAAUACGUAGGGGGCUAGCGUUGUCCGGAAUCACUGGGCGUAAAGGGUUCGCAGGCGGAAAUGCAAGUCAGGUGUAAAAGGCAGUAGCUUAACUACUGUAAGCAUUUGAAACUGCAUAUCUUGAGAAGAGUAGAGGUAAGUGGAAUUGUUAGUGUAGCGGUGAAAUGCGUAGAUAUUAAAAAGAAUACCGGUGGCGAAGGCGACUUACUGGGCUCAUUCUGACGCUGAGGAACGAAAGCGUGGGUAGCAAACAGG
rnacentral:rRNA from 1 species